AAGAGCACACGUAGUAUGAUGCACAAGGACCUGUGCAAGGAUCCAGGUUUGAGCUCUUGGCUCCCUACUUGCUGGGGGGGGGGGGGUUGCUUCACAAGCAGUGAAGCAAGUCUGCAGGCAUCUUUUUCUUCCCUUCCUCUCUCAAUUUCUCUUCUAUCCAAUUAAAAAAAAAAAAAAAAAGGCCUCCAGGAGCAGUGGAUUUGUAGUAUUGGUACUGAGUCCCAGUAAUAACUCUGGAGAACAAAACAAAAGUAUGCGGUGAUGAUCAGAGUAAAAACAAAAAUAAAAAAACUGUACCAC